ensembl:lincRNA
UGCAAAGGGAAGCAGAGUCAAAUUAAAGCCUCCCAACCACGGCUCGUGGCGCUGCGGAUGGGGCGUCCCUCCCUCCCUCCCUCGGCUUGAUGAAGGUGGGUGUGAGAUCCCACAGGACUGUCUGGAAGAGAGCCCGUGGAAGUCACUGUAUUUUGCAGAAGCUGGAGGCGAAGCAGAAGGUUUCUUCCUAAGCUGAGUGAAUCUGGACACUUUCUAACUUGGAACAAAUCACACAGACAAAAUGAAGAUAAAAUGCCCCCAUCCAGGUUGCAGCCUGACACUUCUGCCUCUUUUCCCUCUGGGUAUAUCUUACUGGGUCUUUGCAGGUCAUGGCUGGACUGUUGUGGUGGGGUAACUGAAACAAACCGAAGAGACUGAUGGAAAAAAAAUCAAAAAGCAAGG